rnacentral:rRNA from 1 species
UACGUAGGUGGCAAGCGUUAUCCGGAAUUAUUGGGCGUAAAGAGCGCGCAGGUGGUUGAUUAAGUCUGAUGUGAAAGCCCACGGCUUAACCGUGGAGGGUCAUUGGAAACUGGUCGACUUGAGUGCAGAAGAGGGAAGUGGAAUUCCAUGUGUAGCGGUGAAAUGCGUAGAGAUAUGGAGGAACACCAGUGGCGAAGGCGGCUUCCUGGUCUGUAACUGACACUGAGGCGCGAAAGCUAGGGGAGCAAACGGGGAUUAGAUACCCCGGUA